AAGUCGUAACAAGGUUUCCGUAGGUGAACCUGCGGAAGGAUCAUUAGUGAAAUUGAUGAGUGAGUGAAGGGGGAGAUUGAUUGAGAUGGCUUUUGUGAUAUUGUUUAAUACAAACGCAAUCACACUUUAAUCAUACGUAUAACGUACAACAACCGAUUAAUAAUGAAAUCAACAAACAGCUCUCAGCCAUGGAUAUCUAGGUUCUC
rnacentral:misc_RNA from 1 species